rnacentral:lncRNA from 12 species
CCUUAAGACUUUUUCAAGCAGAAGGAUUUUAAUUUUCACAGGGACUUGAGACUCACCAGUGAGAGCUGCUUGUCUGAACAGGAUGGGCUGUGUCUCAGGGACGCCUCAGUGUGCAGCAGAGGAGACAGCUGCUGGGCAGCCUGGGCUGCAGGGAG